ACAUACGAUCAUAGAUGGUAGGCGAAAACUCGGGAUCCCGUCCGCUCUCCCCUAGAUAAGCUACCAAUCGCCUGGCUAGUAGUCGGAUCGGUGACGACCGGUGAAUAACCAGGUGUUGUAUGUU
rnacentral:rRNA from 1 species